UAGAGCAGUGUUUGGAGAAGUCUACCCUGAUCCUGUCAGAGUGGUAUCAAUUGGCAGACAGGUCGAGGACCUCUUGGCUGAUCCUAAAAACGAUGAAUGGUCUUCGCUUUCUUCUGAGUUUUGUGGAGGAACCCACAUUACAAACACCCGUGAAGCCAAAGCUUUUACUCUUCUAUCCGAGGAGGGAAUUGC